rnacentral:rRNA from 1 species
UACGUAGGCAGCGAGCGUUGUUCGGAGUUACUGGGCGUAAAGGGUGUGUAGGCGGUUUUCUAAGUUUGGUGUGAAAUCUCCCGGCUCAACCGGGAGAGUGCGACGAAAACUGGGAGACUAGAGUGCGGGAUGGGAGAGUAGAAUUCCUGGUGUAGCGGUGAAAUGCGUAGAUAUCAGGAGGAAUACCGGUGGUGAAGACGGCUCUCUGGGCCGCCACUGACGCUGAGACACGAAAGCGUGGGUAGCAAACAGG